ACGCACGCUGGCGGCAUGCCUAACCCAUGCAAGUCGCACGAGACCUUCGGGUCUAGUGGCGCACGGGUGCGUAACGCGUGGGAACCUGCCCUUAGGUUCGGAAUAACUCCCCGAAAGGGGUGCUAAUACCGGAUAAUGUCUUCGGACCAAAGAUUUAUCGCCUUUGGAUGGGCCCGCGUUGGAUUAGCUAGUUGGUAGGGUAAAAGCCUACCAAGGCGACGAUCCAUAGCUGGUCUGAGAGGAUGAUCAGCCACACUGGGACUGAGACACGGCCCAGACUCCUACGGGAGGCAGCAGUGGGGAAUAUUGGACAAUGGGCGAAAGCCUGAUCCAGCAAUGCCGCGUGAGUGAUGAAGGCCUUAGGGUUGUAAAGCUCUUUUACCCGGGAUGAUAAUGACAGGACCGGGAGAAUAAGCUCCGGCUAACUCCGU
rnacentral:rRNA from 1 species